rnacentral:rRNA from 1 species
ACGAACGCUGGCGGCGUGCUUAACACAUGCAAGUCGAACGGAGAGGCCCUGCUUUUGUGGGGUGCUCGAGUGGCGAACGGGUGAGUAACACGUGAGUAACCUGCCCUUGACUUUGGGAUAACUUCAGGAAACUGGGGCUAAUACCGGAUAGGAGCUCCUGCUGCAUGGUGGGGGUUGGAAAGUUUCGGCGGUUGGGGAUGGACUCGCGGCUUUCAGCUUGUUGGUGGGGUAGUGGCUUACCAAGGCUUUGACGGGUAGCCGGCCUGAGAGGGUGACCGGCCACAUUGGGACUGAGAUACGGCCCAGACUCCUACGGGAGGCAGCAGUGGGGAAUAUUGCACAAUGGGCGGAAGCCUGAUGCAGCAACGCCGCGUGCGGGAUGACGGCCUUCGGGUUGUAAACCGCUUUCGCCUGUGACGAAGCGUGAGUGACGGUAAUGGGUAAAGAAGCACCGGCUAACUACGUG